rnacentral:rRNA from 1 species
UACGAAGGGGGCUAGCGUUGUUCGGAAUUACUGGGCGUAAAGCGCACGUAGGCGGAUCGAUCAGUCAGGGGUGAAAUCCCAGAGCUCAACUCUGGAACUGCCUUUGAUACUGGCGAGCUUGAGUUCGGGAGAGGUGAGUGGAACUGCGAGUGUAGAGGUGAAAUUCGUAGAUAUUCGCAAGAACACCAGUGGCGAAGGCGGCUCACUGGCCCGAUACUGACGCUGAGGUGCGAAAGCGUGGGGAGCAAACAGG